GAAAGAAUGACUCACUUAACAUUCUGAUUCUAAUGGAUACUUGAAAAACAGGUUUAAUAUGAUAUUAUUUCUGGGAUAACAGCAGAAAGUGAAGAUAAUUUUAAAACAUGAUAUUUUAAGGCUUCUAGCUGCUCCUUAGAGAACUAAUUUAUGGAUAACUAAACUUAAAAUAAUAGAUACAUUUUCUUAUGUGUUAGGAUAGUGGAAAUAAAAUGGAAUAUGCAGAAGUCAAUCUUUCCAAAUAAAGCAGAGAGAAAUGCCUCUUAAAGAAGGUUUUCUUUGGUACUUUUUACUGGAAUUUUUUUUUAAAUACAUUUAGUAACAUAAUAAUAUUUUUUUUUUAAUACUUCUGUAAUAAUGUAAUCCAGGCACUGUAUAUGAAAGAUAUUCCUCAUUUUAUAUGUAGGAAGUGGUUAACUAACACGAUAUAAGCACAACUGUUUUACCUAUUUAAAUAGCUCUUUAAUAAAAAAACUUCCUACCUAGAAGGGACUUUACUAAUGCAAUAGGAUGACUGGGAAGUACUGAUUUUAUGUAAUGGAAAUACACAUUUUCCAUUAAAUUCAAGAAUGCUCAGUUUUUUGAUAUUUAUUCAAAUUAUGCCAAGGCAUAAUUUGUGGCUAAAUCUUGAGUGGCUAAAUCUUCCCAGAUGUACUUUAUUAUUGGUUUCUAAUGUAAGACUCUCUAUUUGGAAUACAAGGGGAUGUGUUGAUUCAUUCUGCACAGAAGCGAAUAUAUAAAUUAAAUGAACAUGAACUUCAGUUUGGAUCAGUCUAUUAUGAAGAAGCCACUGUUUCUAUAUGGGGUUCAAAUGGAAAAUUUGUGACAUAGUAAGAAAUUCUAUGAUCCAAAGCACAAGAUACCUAGAAUCUGUAAUUUACAUUCUCCAGUAUAUUUUGGUAUAGAGGUGGGGUUUUGGUUUGUUUGCUUGUUUCAAAAAGAGCAUUAAGUUCACACAUUGAUAAUAAAAUUAUAACCACAUAUGCUCAGGUUGUGAAGACACUUGUAGGGCUCCUACCUACCUCUCCAGAUCUUCUGAGCUCACCAGCCAUGACACUGCAAGGUGGGAGAAUGCUCUCCUUCCAUAUUGUGCCUAGGCCAAGAAAGAUAAAUGUCACUGAACUGAAGGGAGAGCAAGAAAGAUAAAGACCAAUAGUAGAAGACACAUAGAAGCAGUUGGAAAUCUUGGAUUCUGCCUCCUGUGCCUAGGAAAAUUUGUAUUUUAGCAUAAUUUUUAGCAUAAAUAUGCAAAUAUUAUGUACUGAAAUGUUUUUAACUAACAACUGAUAUAACAUUUAAUUCUGAUUAUUGAAAGGUCCUCAGCUUUGGUUAAAUCCCUUUCUAGAGAAUUUCUAAGCCAGGAAAAGCUCCACUGGGAAUAGAGGUGUACUGUGUGUUUGCAACUCUGUCAGCAUGAUUGGUAUAUAAUUUUUCUUUUUGACUAGUUCCAGCUCACAAGGUGUAUCAGAUACCUGUUCAAAAGAGGACUCUCUGUGACCUCAGAUAAAAGACUACCUGGAAAGCACAGAACUAUGCUUUGUUUCUAGUGCUUUAAAUCCUUGAAGACUGUACAAGGCACAUAGGAUGUGCGAGGUGAGGGAAGAUGGAAGCCCUGGGCUGAAUUAGUUCCACAGAGCCCAGCAAAGCCAGUGGAGGUCAGUGGAGGAGAGGGUAUUGGAGAAAAGGGAGCAGAGACAAAGAGUCCCACCAAGGAAGAGCACCAGGGAACAGCAAGGACACCCAGACUCCCCUGUGGUAACAGUCUUUCCCACAGAUUUUUUGCACAAUCUGUGCAUGGCCACUCAGUAUUUUUCCAAUAUGGAAGGCUAUUUCUGAACAUGGAUGCAGGACUUGAUGGAAUAUUAAGUAAGUUUGCCGAUGACACAAAAUUGGGAGGACCUGUUGACACUCUCAAGGGCAGAGAGGCCCUGCAGAGGGAUCUGGACAAAUUAGAGAACUGGGAAAUCACCAGCUGUAUGAGGUUUAACAAGGGCAAGUGCCAGAUUUUGAACCUGGAACACGGCAACCCUGUCUGUACAUGAAGACUGGGGGAUGAGAUGCUGGAGAGCAUUGUAGAAAGUAUGCUCCUAGAACCUUAAUACUCAUAGCAGACUUGACUAACACUGGAAAAAUGCCAGUCUUUGGGGCAGAGCAGAGGAAUACCUAGCUCAGUAGCCUGUCUGUUUUACUGGAAGUUGAAGAUUUUGAGCAUGGAAGAAAAACAGGCUUCUGUGUUACUUUAUAAGAUUACAGAUUAGAUAGAGUUAGAUGUGACAUUAGAUACUGAAUGCCACGUUACUGGGGAACCUCUGAGAAUCAAGCAAAUUGCCUGGAGAAGAGAAUUCAGCUGUAAGGAACACAAGAACAAUAUCUUUUCUUAUUCUGAAAUAGUAUCCUGAAAAGAAGGCUAUAACCUUGUUGGGUGUCCUUCAAAAGGAGGAUGAUAAUGAGCGGCACUAAACAGAAAAAAAAAAAAGAAAAUUGAGGUGUUUUUUACUAUGGAGUCAGAAUGAGUCUCCAAAUGGGUGUCUUUAAAAGUAUGUGGUAAGCAUUUUGUCUUCAUGUAACUAAGAGAUUUUUGCAGUUGUUUUUGAGAAACAGCUACCAUGUGCAAGCUUGUGUUAAUAUUUAAAAACAAACAAACACAACAAGAGGAAAACAAACAAACAAACAACCCUCAGCUCUAAAGCUAGAUACUUAAGUUUCUGUUCAGAUACUUGUGUAAGUCAUCACACCCUUAUAAGAGGUGUAACCUUUAAUAGCUUAGCCUCCUCCAUUUUUGGCAACUUUGGGACUAUCUAACAUCAAUAUAUAAACUGCCUUUGGUCUGGGAGUGUUUAAUGAGUUCUUUACGGAAGAUGUAUGAGCCACUGAAAAAAGGGAAAGGAAAUUGUAAAUGUAUUGCAUCUAUAAUCAGACAAGUUAUGACCUUUUGGCCAUUUCCAGUAAACAAAGUGCACUUUCAAACAUUAAAUAAGUAGAAGCUGCAAUUUAAAAACUAACUGACUUAUGAAUGACAAGUUUUAUAACUGUGGGGAAGUGGAUGAGGAAUGAAAGUCUUUGUGACUACUUUUUAUAAGCAUAUAAGGCAAGACAAAUGUUUCUAUAAUGCUUGACCAGGGGUAUAUUUGGACAUGAAAUCUUGUUUCCAGAGGCUGUCUUGAUACAUUAACAAAUGCAAAAGUGUGUAUUUUGUGCAGAGGUUGAGGCUUUUGUAGAUGUGAACAUCACAAGCUUUGCUUUUAGGCAAAACCACUUAAACAGAUUUAGCAUUAAAAAAUGACAUUGUAUUCCUUCCUCAUGACCUGAAACUGGAAUGAAUCAUCCUUUUUAACAUUUUUCAUAAAUGUAAAUGAAAUGCCAAAUCAUAGCAGCAGUCAUUAGGAACAAUUAAAAAGCAGUUAGGAAGUUUAUGGCUGAAGUGUAUUGGAUUGCUACAGCUCUGUAUUAAAUCAGCUUUAGGGCACUGGCUAUUCCCCUGGUACAGUUACACCAAUAUCAUGCUGGCACAGGAGAGCAAAGCCACAACCUGCUUCUUCAGGGUAUAGUUGGGUAAUAAUUUAGGAUUGUUCUCAAAUGUAUUUUGAGCCCCAUAGUCUUUCUUCUAAUUCAAAGCUCUCUUUCCAACAUGUCUGACUGAUUCAAAUGGGGGUGAAUUUCCUUGGGAUAUAUUAACUAGGUGUGUACAGACAUGUAAUCUUAUCUCCACUGCUUCGCUUCUUAUAUAUUUUAUCCAGAGCAUUCCUCCUACCUAUUAAUCUCUCAAACUGAUGGUAUUUAAGCUUUUUCUGUUCUUUCUCACUAUCUAAUUCUCAUAAGUACUGAUGCGCCACCAUGCUACUUUAGCUUUCUACUGUGUGCAACUUUGCUAUAAUACAUGGACAUAAGUAAAUAGUGGAGUGGUAAAUCACAUCUGUCAUGCAUGAACUAUACUUGCUUUGAGUAACUCAUGAAUGCCCUGGGCAGCAUGAACUACACGGCUUUGCUGUUUAAUGUUCAAUGUAUUUAUAUCCCAGUUUGUAAAUCACAUCUCUUAUUAAUCAUUGUUUAUUUUACUCCAGGAACAUAUACAGAUAUUAAAGUUAAUCCUCUAUGCUAAAUUUUGCUUAGCAUAGAUUUUUUCCUAAUCUUAAUCUUGAGUAAUUUCUCAGAUUGGACUUUAAAAAGGAGAAAGCCUUUUUAUUAGAUUCUGGUGACUACCAGUCAGUGCUGCAGCAGAAAAGGGGUUUUCAUCAAGUCAGAUUUCCCAGCUCAAUUCUUGAUAAAAGACCAUAUAUUAAAUAUGAUCGUCUCCUUCUUUAAAGCCCCAGUUUCACCUCUCUUAUUUCCAUGUUGCCAUGCAUCAAACAAACAAACAAAAACAAUGGAGCAAUCCAGUAGGACAAUCAGGUGACCAGGUCCAGUCAGCAUGAGUUUAUGAAAGGGAUGUACUGCUUGACCAGCCUGAUCUCCUUCUAUGACAAGCUGAUCCACUAGAGGAGGAAGGAAAGGCUGUUGAUAGCAUCUAUCUAGACUUUAGUAAAACAUUUGACACUCUUUCCCACAGCAUUCCACUAGAGAAACUGGCUACUUAUGAUUUGGAUGGCCAUACCCUUUCCUGGAUAAAAAACUGUUUGGAUGGCUGGUCCCAAAGAGUUGUGGUGAAAAGAGGCAAAUCCAAUCGGCAGCUGGUUAUAAAUGGUGUUCCACAGGCCCCAGUAGUGGGACCAGUUAUGUUUAAUAUCCUUAUCAAUGAUCUGGACAAGGGGAUUGAGUACACUCUCAGCAAGUUUGCAUAUGAUACCAAGUUGGGUUAGAGUGUUGACCUGCUGGAUGGUAAGAAGGCUCUAUAGAGGGAUCUGGAUCAGGUGGAUUGAUGGGUCGAGGUCAGUUGUAUGAGGUUCAACAAGGUCAAGUGCCAGGUCCUGCAGCUGGAUCACAACAAUCCCAUGCAACACUACAGGUUUGGAGAAGAGUGGCUGGAAAGAUGCCUGGUGGAAAAGGACCUGUAGGUGUUGGUUGACAGCUGGCUGAAUAUGAGCCAGCAGUGUGCCCAGAUGUCCAAGAAGGCCAAACGCAUCCUGGCUUAAAUCAAAAAUAGUGUGGCCAGCAAGACUAUGGUAGUGAUCAUCCCCCUGUACUCCACGCUGGUGAGGCCUCGUCUUGAAUACUGUGCUCAGUUUUGGGAUCCUCACUACAGGAAAGACAUUGAGGUGCUGGAGUGAGUUCAGAGAAGGGCAAUGAAGCUGCUGAAGUGUCUGGACUGCAAGUCUGAUGAGGAGCAGAUGAGGGAAUUGGGGCUGUUUAGCCUGGAGAAAAGGAAGCUCUAGGGAGGCCUUAUCGCUCUCUACAACAAACUGAAAGGUGGUUGUAGCAUGGAGGGUGUUGGUUUCUUCUCCCAUACAGCAAGUGAUAGGACAAGAGGAAGUGGCCUCAAGUUGCACCAGGGGAAGUUAAGAUUGGAUAUUAGGAAAAAAAAAUUCAUGGAAAGGGUUGUCAGGCAUUGAACAGGCUGCCCAGGGAAGUGGUAGAGUCACCAUCCUUGGAGGUGUUUAAAAGAUGUGUAGAUGUAGUGCUUAGGGACAUGGUUUGGUGAUGGACUUGGCAGUGUUAGGUUUAUGGUUGGGCUCAAUGAUCUUAAGGGUCUUUUCUAAGCUAAAAGAUACUAUAAUUCUACGAUUUUAUAAGUGUGCACAGCAGAUUUCUCAUUGAGAAAAAUUGUAGGGGAACACUAAUUUCAGCUGAUAGAUAUGAAAAUAUUUUUUGAGGAGAGAAAAUUACAGUUUCAAGUGGGACUCUCCAAAACCCUUGGCAGAGAUCUUAUUAAAGACAAGAAGAAAAUAAAAUAUUAAGAGAUGUAAUAGUUGAAUACUGAAUUUUCCUGAAGGCUACAGGUGGGAUUUGAAUGGGAUAGAAAGGCAAUAUUUCACUUUCAGUAUGAAAAAUUUUCACCUGUUGAAAAACCUUGAUCUGCCUUUUUAGACAGCAGAGAAAUUUAGAAUCACUUACAGAGCUUAAUCCCAUCUUUAUGGUUUGUAGACUUUUCCCUCCAAAAAAGCAGGCUUUGUUAUUUUCUAAUCCUUCUGUUUUUCUGAGAUGGUGAUAAAGACCACAUUAUGAAUGAAAUCAGGAAGUGUAAAGGAAGUAUUUCAUAUCUAGGGGAAAAUACGUGUUUCUCCAGAAUUCACUAAGGCAAAACAAGCCUGAACAAAGAAGCUUAUUUUUCUGAAAGCUGGUUUGCUUCCCUUAGCAUGACUGCUUUAGGGCAGUGGAGAGUUUUUGGGAUUAUUUUUUUUUUCUUUCUUUUUUUUUUUUCUUAAUUUCCUCUCAUCUAGAAUAUGAUUAAUUACUGAAUGGAAAGAAAAAUAAGUGUUUUUCUUUGAUUAAAAAGGUGGUGAACAUAUUUACUAUUUCAUUCUGAAAAACAGGAAGCUCAAAAAAAGACACUUUCUGCAAGCUUUGUUUCCAGAACAGAUAUUGAAAGAAAUGUUUCACCUUCCCUCCUUAAGCUUUUCACUUUAUUGAUAUACAAUAAACAUUUCUGUAUAAUGAACAGAUUUAUCAGGAUUUGUUAAUGAAAAUGAGUACAGAAGACUGCACUGUUUAAUGGGUAAGAAAAUAUUAUGUCUCAAUCCUGUAAAGUGCCAUCAUGCAGUGGCCUCUGCAGAGCUUGCAGUCAGGUUCUGUUCUGUUUUCAGGGUAUUAGAGGGGAAUAAGUCCCACCUGGGACCUGUGAAUUUCCUUGUUAGUUCUGUUCCUCCACUGGUGGAGGAGGGUCCCAUGUACAUUAAACAUGUGAGUUGCCUACCUAAUAGGCACUAAGUAGCCUACUCCCUAUGGUAGUUCUUCCCUUUCCCUUUCCUUUUGGAGGUAAGAAUAAGAAGCCUGAAGCAGAUAUCCUCCUAUGCAAGUUUGCCAGGCAUUUGCCUGUCAUCUACUAUGGUAAUGAUGGCUGCGAAUUGGCUAUUCUACAGCUUUUGCUAUUACUUAAAUGUAGUCUGAAGGAUGGUGCAGCUGCCUCUCCACCAUGAGAAGGCUCAGCCAAAGCUUUCCAAGUGGAUACUUAAAGGGAUGAAUAGAAUAGAAUAGAAUAGAAUAGAAUAGAAUAGAAUAGAAUAGAAUAGAAUAGAAUAGAAUAGAAUGGAAUGGAAUGGAAUAGAAUUUCAGUUGGAAGGGGCCUAAACUGAUAAUCUGGUUCAACUGCAUAAAUGUGGCCAAUAGCACCUCACCCUCUCAUAGUCAAGUGCUUGCAAAUACCAAGGAAGGGACAGUGUGUCAAGAGACACCACCAAAGCAGUUAGAUUUGAAGGAAAAUCACGUCCACUUUCAUACUUUGAAAAAAAUAUACUAUUUCCAGUGACAGAAAAUUGCUCUUUCAGGUAGUAGGAAAGGGCUUUCACUAGUGGUUCUUUGUCUGCUUACCUCUCAUUUCUGCGACGUAGGAUGCUACUAAAUAACAUAGUAAUGUAUUAUUAAAAUUUGAAAAAAAAAAAAGUAUAUGGAAAACACUUCUAAGCAAUUUAAAUUAAGCUGAAUAUGCAGCUCUUCUCCAAGAAACCCUGAGAGCCAUCUUUAAAGUGCCACCAUUAAAAUUUUGAUUCUUUUUUCACUCAUUUUUCAGUCUCUGCACUGAUGCCUGUCCUCAUUUCUAAGUUUCCAUGUAGCUGUAAAACUUUCAGCUUCAUGCUGCAGUUGUGUAAUUUGUCAGACUUGAGACUCUCUCAAAGACAUUUGUUCAAAUGAUUACAACUACUGUUAAAACCUCUAGUUCUGAAUACUGAGGAAUGAACAUUUCAGUCAUCAGAUGUGAGCAAGUCAUACCCAUUUUCUUGUGAACUCUUCUUGUUUUCUUGUCUAUGGGAGUGUUAUAUUUAUGAGAAUUUAAGCUUUAGUUAGUAAGAGCAUCAACAUAACUCUAUUUGCCAUGCAGCUGCAAUAAAAGCAGUACAAAGGCCAAAAACAAUUUUCAUUUUAUGCACACAUUAAAAGUUAACCUGCAGUCUUUUCCGCUUUGCUAAAAGCCCAGCAAGUACAGUACAAAACUUUGGGACUUGAGCUUUUAGAUGGAACUAAUUUAGUAUUUGUUGGUUGCUUUUCAUGGUAGAGUUACCACUCCUCACAGCUAAGUGCAUUCUUUAGACCAGCUAAUCAUCUAUUUGAUCCUUUAUCAUGGAAAACAGGUGAAUAUUUAUCUUUAAGCUGUUUUGAUAGUUGAGCAGUCUGAGGAGGGAGAGGAGAAUUGGUUGUUUUAGAAUGUUUGGAUGAGGGGAGGAGCUGUGUUUAAUCAGGGCCAGAUUUAUAAGAGGAUGCCAGUGUAAAGAUUCCUGUUGGAAAUGGUCCAUGUGUAAUACCAUGGUCUGACCCCAGUUAAGUACAUAAGGCAUGUCUCAUCUAGACUGAAAUUAGAAAAAUGAAGGUAGUUACAUGAAAAAAGGGAUAAAGCUGACCUGUGAACCCUUGUGGAUAUAUCUCUGCUCCCUAACUCUUACAACUGCCUAUCAUAUUUUGUUUCUUAAAGAUAUUCAAAAGUAUUCACAUAUUCCUUCUAUGGUUUUAUGUCAGUAAAAAUCUAUGCUUUAAAAACAGAUGAUCCCCUUCCACUGCACUGUUACAGUGUGUGUACAAAUUUAAUGAUGCCCAGUAAAUGUCUCAUUAUGAAAUCCAGGAAGGAGACAUAAUUAAUUAAAAUACGGUGGGUGUUUUUUGUGUGUGGUUUUUUUUUGUCUUGUUUUGUUUUGUUUUUUGUUUGUUUGUUUUUGUUUUUGUG